rnacentral:rRNA from 1 species
UACGUAGGGGGCAAGCGUUGUCCGGAAUUAUUGGGCGUAAAGCGCGCGCAGGCGGCCUUUUAAGUCCGGCGUUUAAGCCCGGGGCUCAACCCCGGACCGCGCGGGAAACUGGGAGGCUCGAGUGCAGGAGAGGGAAGCGGAAUUCCACGUGUAGCGGUGAUAUGCGUAGAUAUGUGGAGGAACACCAGUGGCGAAGGCGGCUUCCUGGCCUGUAACUGACGCUGAGGCGCGAAAGCGUGGGGAGCGAUCCGG